rnacentral:rRNA from 1 species
ACGAACGCUGGCGGCGUGCUUAACACAUGCAAGUCGAACGGUGAAGCGCCUUCCUUUUUGGUGGGUGUGGAUGAGUGGCGAACGGGUGAGUAACACGUGAGUAACCUGCCCCCUUCUUCUGGAUAACCGCAUGAAAGUGUGGCUAAUACGGGAUAUUCUGGGUCUGUCGCAUGAUGGGUCUGGGAAAGAUAUUGUUUCGGUGGGGGAUGGGCUCGCGGCCUAUCAGCUUGUUGGUGGGGUGAUGGCCUACCAAGGCGGUGACGGGUAGCCGGCCUGAGAGGGUGGACGGUCACACUGGGACUGAGACACGGCCCAGACUCCUACGGGAGGCAGCAGUGGGGAAUAUGGCACAAUGGGCGCAAGCCUGAUGCAGCGACGCCGCGUGAGGGAUGGAGGCCUGCGGGUUGUGAACCUCUUUCGCCAGUGAAGCAGGCCUGCCUCGUUUGUGGGUGGGUUGACGGUAGCUGGAGAAGAAGCGCCGGCUAACUACGUG